GCGUUCGAGCGAUGGUCGUGCGGCGGAUUCCAAACCCGCUAGCUGUGGGUUCGAUUCCUACCGGGCGUGC
rnacentral:tRNA from 3 species